rnacentral:rRNA from 1 species
AUUGAACGCUGGCGGCAGGCCUAACACAUGCAAGUCGAACGGGUGGCGGACGGGUGAGUAAGGUCUGGGAAACGUCCUGAUGGAGAGGGAUAACUACUGGAAACGGUAGCUACUACCGCAUACCAGCAGCUGUGCCCAGCGGGGAUUAGCUAGUUGGGGGGGUAACGGCGUACCAAGGCGACGAUCCCUAGCUGGUCUGAGAGGAUGACCAGACACACUGGAACUGAGACACGGUCCAGACUCCGACGGGAGGCAGCAGUGGGGAAUAUUGCACAAUGGGCGCAAGCCUGAUGCAGCCAUGCCGCGUGUAUGAAGAAGGUCUUCGGGUUGUAAAGUACUUUCAGCGGGGAGGCGUUACCCGCAGAAGAAGCACCGGCUAACUCCGUGCCAGCCGCCGCGGUAAUUC